GGUGCUGCCCUUGACAACUCCCCCAACUGUUGGGCAAGGCCUUUUGCCACAGGUCCCAAUAAGGCUCCACCAGGAAUCGGCUGUCUGUAAAAGGUGAAGGGGGACUGACUGAGUAGAGAGAAGAAGACAAGCCAGGGCAGCCCUCUAGCAGCCUGGGCCAGGCUCCAGUCUAUCCAUCUGUCCAAGUUUUGCAACAAGG
rnacentral:lncRNA from 1 species